UACGUAGGGCGCAAGCGUUGUCCGGAAUUAUUGGGCGUAAAGAGCUCGUAGGCGGUUUGUCGCGUCUGCUGUGAAAACUCGAGGCUCAACCUCGGGCUUGCAGUGGGUACGGGCAGACUAGAGUGCGGUAGGGGUGACUGGAAUUCCUGGUGUAGCGGUGGAAUGCGCAGAUAUCAGGAGGAACACCGGUGGCGAAGGCGGGUCUCUGGGGCAGGUAACUGACGC
rnacentral:rRNA from 1 species